UGGUGGCGUUGGCGCGCAGCG
rnacentral:misc_RNA from 1 species